CCUACGGGAGGCAGGAGUGGGGAAUAUUGCACAAUGGGCGAAAGCCUGAUGCAGCAACGCCGCGUGAGCGAUGAAGGCCUUCGGGUCGUAAAGCUCUGUCCUCAAGGAAGAUAAUGACGGUACUUGAGGAGGAAGCCCCGGCUAACUACGUGCCAGCAGCCGCGGUAAUACGUAGGGGGCUAGCGUUAUCCGGAAUUACUGGGCGUAAAGGGUGCGUAGGUGGUUUCUUAAGUCAGAGGUGAAAGGCUACGGCUCAACCGUAGUAAGCCUUUGAAACUGGGAAACUUGAGUGCAGGAGAGGAGAGUGGAAUUCCUAGUGUAGCGGUGAAAUGCGUAGAUAUUAGGAGGAACACCAGUUGCGAAGGCGACUUUCUGGCUGUCUGCUGACACUGAAACACGAGAGCUAGGGGAGCAAACA
rnacentral:rRNA from 1 species